rnacentral:rRNA from 2 species
ACCGUGAGGUGGAGCAAAACUUAUAAAGCCUAUCUCAGUUCGGAUUGUAGGCUGCAACUCGCCUACAUGAAGCUGGAGUUGCUAGUAAUCGCGAAUCAGAAUGUCGCGGUGAAUACGUUCCCGGGCCUUGUACACACCGCCCGUCACACCAUGAGAGCUGGUAACACCCGAAGUCCGUGAGGCAACCGUAAGGAGCCAGCGGCCGAAGGUGGGAUUAGUGAUUGGGGUGAAGUCGUAACAAGGUAGCCGUAGGAGAACCUGCGGCUGGAUCACCUCCUUUCUAAGGAGA